rnacentral:lncRNA from 1 species
AUGAUGGAAGCUGGGGUUCAUUUUGGCCAUGAGCCUAGGAAAUGGAAUCCUCGAAUGGCACCUUUUAUAUCGGGAAAACGUAAAGAUCUUGCAGAUAUUUCGAUUCCGACUAAUGAUGAAGCUAUAGCUUCCAUCGGAUUAAUUCUUAACAAAUUAGUUUUUGCAAUUUGUGAGGAUCGUUCUAGCUAUAUACAAAAAAAUUGA